UGUUGUGAGUCUCUGUUCUUAAUCCUCCUCCUCCAAAACUGAUCUUUGAAGAUGAAGAAAUGUCAGUUAUGUAGAGAAAUAGAGCAUAUUCUAACAACUAUAUUUUGACUGUAGAUUCAACACAGUAUGCAGAUAUUAGUUCAUUAAAUGGAACGAAAGUUACGUGCCUUGGUUUGAGAUUUUGAUUCAGUGAGAGAAGUGAUAUAAUGUAUGCUGCGGCGUUCAUUCCUAUGAAAUCUCUAUUAAUUUUCCCUCUGACAAGCGCAAGCUAAUUUCUCAUGAAUAAUAAAAGCUUUAGAUCUGAUAUAAUUUUGGUGUCUUUGAUCAGGAGCAUGACACACUGCCAACUGUUCUUAUGCUCAUUAACAAACCUUAAUCAAACUAUAUUAUCUCCUGUGCAGCGUGGAAUAUCUACAACUUGUUGUUGACCCUGCUUUUACAGAUAUAUUUUAAUCCUCUAAAUUGAUGGUUCAAGGGUUAUUAUGGGUAUUGCCAGGUCAUGAAAUGAAUUGUGACCAGUCACCAUGUUUGCUUAUAGUUGGCCUUUAGUGGUAUCAUCCAGCAUUUUUUCAAUUAUGUUUUUUUUUUGUAUUUGAGUUAAAAAAAAAAGUCCAUGCUUCUUGGUCUGUUUAAAUACCAUCAAAACUUCUCUGACACAAUAUGGCUUCAAACUUUUUUUUUCUCUGCUGUUUUUCUUGCUUUUAUGCAUUUGGUCUCACUUGGUGUGGAUCAACUCGAAAUAUCCAAAUGAUAGUGACUGUGUUUUUGAGAACGGGAGGUGAAUGAGGCUGAUGUAACAAGAAGGAACUGGUUUGGGAGACAAAAGCUGAGAACUAGGGGAGGUGCAUGAGAGAGACAUAGAAAGACAUAAGUAACAAGAGAGAGACUGAACUACCUGCUAAACAAGUAAGUUAUCUUUAUGUUUCAGCUCAUCCUUUACAUGAAAUCUUCUGAACUGUAAGUACAGUACUGUAACAGAAAAAAUUAAAAACGUGUGUUCUUCUGUAAAAAUCACUCUGUCCUGUACAUUAUUCUUUCUCUAACACUUUUUAUUUUGUGCUUAUCAUCUGCCUGCUGGUUCCUUUAGUCUUCAUUUGCCCCAUUUCCUGUGCCAGUUCCCAGCACCUUCCCCACAGCUCAACUUUAAAAUACUGCAAGUAAAGUUCCUCCAUACACACAUUAGGUGUGUGUUUGUGUGUUAACUUAUACUGAAGUAACGAGGCAUUGAAGUUUGGGGAAAUGUGUGUGUGCAGUUACAGUUAGGGUUUUAAUUAAAAAUGUUAGAAAUUUUUGCUUCCUGCUGAUACACGUUGCUUUGCAAUGCUGGGCUGUAAGUAUUUGGCACAUUUCCUGUGUGUGUGCAUGAAAGAGAUAAAGAAAGGGCAGUCAGAUGGGAGAAGGGUUGAGAGAAUUACAUAUUAUUAGCUUGGCUUUUUUGCUGACAAACAGAAUGGUGAGCAGCAACUAAAGGGGAGUAGAGAGGAAGACAGAUGCAUCUCGAUUAAUUGUACAAACCAUUAUUGCCCCCAAAGUGAAUGGUUAUGACUCAGUCAGCUAUGAAUUACAUUUAAGUGCACUGCCAUAAAUUCACAGAUACUGGCCUCACCUCAGUGCCCCACUUUAUUUGAUACGUUAUUAUAUUCACAUCUGUUUUUAUAAGAAUAUAUUUAAAGUUUUCACUGAAUGAAGCCUUAGCUUGGCGCACUAACUCUCCUCGUCCGUAUCCACAUCAAUAAAUCCACAGGACCACUUGGUAAAAAAAACUAUUAGUUUACAAAUACAACAAAGAAAAUUACAGAAACAAGUUGAUAAGUUAAUAAGAGAAAAAUAGAGAAAGAGAGGGAGAGAGGUCAAAAAACUAGGUGACUCAACUCUCUGCUUGCCUGACUUCCUAAACUUUCUCGUGAGAGUAUCCCCAAGCAAUUAAAGGUGCAUGCAGUUAAUAGGAAAAUGCAAGUCCUCUAUUCCCCAAAUGAAACAAUGUAAUAUAAAUGCACUCUACACACAUUUUAAGUGCUAGAAACCAAACAAUAAACUUACUGCACCACUGUUAAUAAUGACUAAUAAAUACUGAUAAUAUUCUCCACAUCAAUGAACCAUGUAAAUGACUGUUAAAUAAUUGCAUAUUACUCAGCUGAAUAUUUGUAUUUAUCAGCAAACUACAUUUAGGCUCUGACAUAUAUUAUUUUUGUUUUGUUUUGUUUGUUUCCUCCCCUUAUCAGUUCAAUGUGUAUAGCAGAGGUGCCAACACUAUUUCACUGCUUGUGAGCUACUUUUAAAAUGAACAGCUUAACAUGAUCUAACAACCAAAAAAUAAUAUCACGUUGGACAUAAAAUGUACCUUGCAUGACUACAUGGGUGCAUUGACAAUGGCAUUGAUUGAUUGAUAGGACUGAUUUGAUUUUAUAUCAAGUUAACGGCUAACUUAUAUGAGGGAAGCACCAGGAAAUACCAGUGGAGUUAAAUCUUCACCGGCAGGCUGCAGUAUUUGGUAUUGAUUGCGGACCUGGAGCUCCCCAAUUAACUGUACUCUCAUCAUUUCUGUUUACACUCUCUGGCUUUUAACACAACUCUGGAACAUGUCAUCUCCAGAAGUUCUCGGAUGACUCCUGCAACGUGAGCUGCAUCAGCGAGGACAAAGAGGAAUGUACACAUGGCGCCUUUUGUAGUCCUCUGACCGCUUUCACACACUGAUGACAGAGGCUAACGUGCAAGGUGCCCACUGCUCAUCAGAAAAUCAUUCACUCAAGCGUGAGUAAAUCCAAAUAAGCUCUGACGUCGGAACUGAGUUUUGAGGGGUGCUAUCAAGCUGAGCAGAUAAAUGAGAACAAGACGUGGAUUAAAAGUGUGAUGGGUACGUUGUGUUGCCUGUAUGUGGACAUGCAGUAUAAACAAAUGUUCUUCUACAGUUCUACAAGAUGCAAGUACUGCAAUAUCACUUUAACUCUAUUCAAAGGUGUACUGUGUAGUUCAGGCAGUUUCAGAGGCAAAAUAUAUUUCACAGUAUAAUAAACAAAACUGAGCUAAUAGGAGUAAUGGGUCCCUGGGACAGUGUGAGAUAUCAUACACAAGAAGAAUUACAGGAAGUACAUGUAUAGUAAUUAUGUUUUGUAGACUCAUUUUAUAUGAUCUGCAAAUGUGAGCAAAUCCCCAAUUGAAUAACUAGUGUAGGGGGAUGUCAGUGUAAGCAGUAGAUGCCACAUACAAGUGUUAGAUAUCUCCAGAAAGCUGGGACUGUGAAGAUUCAUUUUAGAUGCAGCUUAACACGGUGUCAAUGUUUUCCACACAUUGAUAUAUUAAUAAAAUGGAGAAUGGUCAGAGUGUGUGAGAGAGAGAGGCAUUAUGUGGGAGACCUAUGAUAGCCAUUGCCACGCUCCAUUAAAUGUAAAAAGUAGUGAGGCAUUUCCCAAUCCUUUGACUUAAUCCUAAUGUCUGGACUCGUGGACUCAAAAUAAUCCUCACAAAUAGGUGGAGAUUCACAAAUAUAUUUCCACUGAAAAAUGUGAAUUUGAUCUGCGAAUGAUGAUAUAAGAGUGGUAAAUUAGAGGCACAGCUAGAGAUUUACAGAUUCAAAUCACACACAUUUAUUUGUGCAUUGUUUUUUUUUUUUACGAGUUACGCAACAUGUCAUUUGUUUGUGAAUACUAAUGAGACUGUUUUAAACCCAUAUAACAUAUCUGAUACAGAGAGAAGUAGCUCAACCAGUAACAUCUGUAAAUUUGCAGGUUUUAAUUCAAAGGCAGCAGUGAGUAUCUGUUUUUAACUCUCAUCUUAGAAAAGUACAAGUAUAAAAACACUGAGACCCCGUGGGACUGAUUAUGUAAGCAGCAGCUGCAGUCAGUAGCCGUCUUUCCAUCAAAUUGGUCAUCUAUUCAUUGGACAGACAUUCUGAAGCAGGGAAAAGAAGAAAGAAGCUUGCUCGAUUCACAAACCAAGCUAUACUAUACAAGCUCCGGUGGACAGAGCGUUCUUAUGUGCGCCUACCACGGCGUGCUGACAGUGUCAUCGUGCAGAAGAUGGAUCAGGUAUAAAGUUUGAAUUGAUAGAGUUCACAUAACCAGAUCAACCGAUUAUUACGUCAGACAUUAUUACUUCUACUGCUGUGUAGUGUAAUGAGUCAUGUUAAGCCGUUCAUCAUCACUCUUAAUUACAUAAUAAAAAUCAGACCCUGUCACACUCUGCCUAGGCACACAAUGCAUUUGUCUCCAGAUCUUUCUGUCAUAUGAGGUAGUUAUAAGUAAUGAGGUAGUUAGUGUAAUUAUAGACACAAUCCGCACUGACUGCGAGAUCCCUUUUAAAAAGGCUCAGUGCUUUCUGCAAUUUUGUUGGAUUGAAGUUGGACCACUUAACACCUUGAACCGUACCAGAGUUCUUUAGCUGGGUCUCGGUACGGUUGUUUGGUCCGUGCUUAAGUGUGAUUGCUGUAUUCACACCUGCCCAAAAGAUCUGCACCAAGAAGGAAAAUGAAACUCUAGUGCGAUUCAUUCGAACCAAGCAAGACAGGUGUGAAAGCACCCUUUGUUAUGGUGUUGGUAUUUGUGUUCAGUAUUUUCCUGGUUUAUUCCUGGUUAGGCCCUUUUCAGUGUCUGGUAGUUGUUAUUCCCUGUUUUGUUGUUCCAUGUCCUUUUGUUUUUUCAGUUGUUCAUUCAUUCAUUCCGAGUUCUUUGUUUUAUUCUGUUAGUUGCCAUUUUAGGGAGUUUUACUUUCUGGUUUAUGUUGGAAUUGUCUGUGUCUGGUGUUUUUGUCUAGCUUUAUUUUCUCCUAAUCUCUUUCACCUGUUCACUCCUUCCCUCCUCUGUAUUUAUCUGCUGGUUUAUUCAGUCUCCUCAUCGUUUGUUGUGUGUUUUCUCAUUCUUCAGAGAGUGUUUAUGGAUUUCGUUCCUUCCCUGUUUUGAUACUGCUUGUACUCAUUUUGAAUUUGGACUCAGGGUUGGACUGGUAAUCUGGCAUACCGAGCAAAUUCCCGGUGGGCCGACGCACCCUUGGGGCAGGUGAAAUAUAUGAAAAUGUCCCCAGAGUGCAGGAAAUUAAGUUUUUAAUGCUCCAUCUUCUGGGAGGACACCCAGACCCCCCUAUCAACUAUUUCAUCAAUUAUUUUUUUUACAUAAAUAGUAAACAUAUUAAAAUAAUAUAAGUGUUUCAUCACACCCCUAAUCUGAGCCCUUAAAUGGAAGGAUGAUGUAAUGAUGAGGGGUGUCUGACCGAUUUUGUUAGGCCACCAGGGCCGGGUUUUUUUGUCCCAGCCCUGCUUGGACUCCUUUUGUGAUGGACAUUUCUGCAAGUGAAUUUGUGCUCUUUAUGUCUGGCUUUAAUAAAUCAAAAAUACUGUCC